CCCAAAUCAGUUGGGAGGAUAUCUCUCCCUCCACCCCUCCCUCCUCUUCUUUACCUCCUCUUUUUUCUCUUUGUUAUCAUCAAAAAAUGAUAUAAAUUUCCUAUCCAACUAUUUGGCUCCCUAUUUGACCCAUUGUUUCUUUUAGGGAUUUUUAAAUGUGAAGAGUUCUUUGCUCUUGGAGCCUCUACUGCAGCACCAACUCCACUGAAGCUGUACAGAAACUGCCUAAAUGAGUAGGAGCUGGAGAUGGGACCUACAGCUGGGGCUACAUGGAAACACCAUGAAUGUGCCUUGGCAAGACUUGUGGAGAAGCCCAGCACAGCCUUUCAUGAGCCAGAAAGGUUAAAACUGUGCUGAAAGGACAGCCCCAGCUCUCUGCUGUUGGUGAGUUAUUC
ensembl:lncRNA